AAUUAAGAGGACUUGUCCUGCCAUGUUGUUACUCAGAACUGAAAACGCCCUCUGGAUUCAUGUUUCCUCAUUUCCCGGCCAGCUCAUUCCACCAAAUGACAUGAUUAUGUGACUCUGCUAUGUCAGGUUGUCAAACAGGAAGUUUUACCAUAAAGGAUUAUACUUGUGGUGGGAUAUAGAGAGGAAACCCUGUGCUUCCAAACCAUCAAGAACACUUGAGUGGCAUCGGUUUCUUUCAACACAUAUCACUAUAUAUGAAGAUGUCACCUAAGAGAGGACACCAGCUAGAUAUUGCUGACCUUCUGAUUGCCUGACUGCAGUGUAAAUACCUGGGAAGGGCCAGAUUAAAUGGUCAUUGAGGCAUGAGAAUUUCCUAAGUAAAAGAAAUGAAGAAAGAAGAGUAAUAUCAUCUUGGAAAUCUUUGUAAAUUAUUUAGAGAAAAAUAGUACAGCUGACUCUUGAACAACAUGGGUUUGAACUCUGUGGGUCUAUACUUACACUUGGAUGCAGAGAGCAAGAUGGAAUCACUCAUGUCAAGCAGCCAAGGGUGGUGCAGCUCAGACCAGAUAGUGCCCAAACUGGCACAGGCUGAUGACACCCAGAACGGAUAACAAGUAGAACCAGAGCAGGUUUGCUAAGGCCAAAGCAGGAUUAAAUUCUUUUAUAGAGGAGAGAUUUUUGCAGCAAACUGUCAGACUCUCCUGACACUGACCCUUUCAGGUCUCACCACAUCAAAAAGGCAACUGCCACAGAAGGCUCUACCCAACUGAUGUCGGAACAUAACAGAGAUUCUCCACGGCUUGAACAUAAUUAGCUGCAUGGGGUGAGAGCCGACCCUGACCUGACGGAGACCCCAUCUCAACAGUGUGCUCAUGGAUGGAAUUCGAGUUGAGUUCGUUAGCUUCUUACUCCUUGCUGGAUCUUGUUUGUUGUGUGACUUUAUAUGGUCCUGUGCUUUGUGUGAUGCGUAUGAAGCCAAGUUAAAUGCCGAGUGACAGGUCAUUGAGUUUGGAAUCCUGAAGCCGCUUUGCAAUUACGUUAGCCUUGCUUUAUGAUUGAAUGAAGCUGACACUAUGGAAAGACACAACUUGUGUGUGUGCCUUCAUAGCGUGCUCACAAUAGGAUUGCUUCUGCACAUCGUGGAAGAGGGUGAGGUCACCACUCUGGUUUUGCUUCUUCAAGAGAUGCUGGGGUGCCCUUGUGCU